GUGACGUUAGCUCAGUUGGCAGAGCUUUGGAUUGUGAUUCCAAGGGCCGCCGGUUCGAAUCCGGUACGUCAGCCCA
rnacentral:tRNA from 1 species